UUAUAAGAACGUCACUAUUUGACAGUUAACGAAAAAAAUAAAAUAGAAUAAUGCAAUUAUUAGAUUUUUAUACAAAAUAAUUAAAAUUAUAAAAUGAUUAUCUUUUUAUUUAUUCUUUCAUUCGUCGUCAUAAACUGCCAGUAUUUAUCCGAUCCGGCUUUCAAACCUGACAUUAGAUUCGACGAUCACAACGACAGGUUUGAUCUAAAACCACUGCUCAGAUUCCAAAAGAAUUAUUUCAAAUAUCCAGCCCACAGACGAAACUUUAGAAAAACAAUCAUAAACAACAAUGAUAGAAGAUCAGGAUGGACAAUAUUGAAAUCUAAACAUUCAGAUAAAGAUACGGAAGUUGUUAUAAAAAAAAUCAAAAACAAAGUCAAACAUGAAUUAGAAAAUAUAGCAAAACACAUCGGCAAUUGGAGACGAAGUAAUGAAAAUGACAGAAUUGGAAAUAAUGAUCAUUUAAAACAAGAAGUAAUAACGUAUCCUAUCAGGAAAUCAUUAAAUGAUAUUUUUAUAAAUCUAGAUAAUGGUAGACGUAAAGCUAAGCGUGAUGGAAUUGGAUAUGAAAAUGAAGCCAUUUUUAAUUACGCGUUCCCUGUACACAUGGUUUUACGUGGUUACAUGACAAUGCCGGCGGUAUUUUAAUGUAAUAAAUGUUUAAAAUUC